ensembl:lncRNA
GAACAAGGGGAGUUUCAGCACUUGGAGGGAAACACCAGAUGAGAACAAAUAAAUAGGCUUCCCAGAGCAAAAUGAUGCUGCAGAGAAAUAUUCACUCUCCUCACCCUGAACCCAGGCAGAGAGGCUGCUGCAGCCCCCAGAGCCCAACCUCUAUGGGUGCAUGCUGUGCUUGAGGUCCCACAGUGGCAGAGCACGGGGCGGCCCAGCUGAGAACCUGGCCAGGAGACGGGGAAAGGAGUGGCUGCUCUCCAGUCUUGAUGCCUAGAACUUGCUUUUAGUCUAUUUCCAACGAAGGGACUUCUGAAGGGCAGACAAUGCUCUCCGUUCCAUGGUGGGCCCUCCCCUGGCUGUGGGCUUCUGACUGAGACCUGCAGCUCCAGCUCCUCCCAGUGUCUCAGCUUCACCCUGGGCUGGGUGGGACUUCUGUACCAGGCCCCCAUUGCAGGGCCUUUUUUAAGCUUAUUCCUAAUGACCUUGGGUGAGUAGGUAAAUAUUUCGGUGCCUGUAUGUGCACAGGGUAUACCUUUAGUAUAGUGUAGUUGUAAAUAACUGUCCCUCUUUUCUCACUUUGCUUUUUUGGUUUUGUGGUUUGAGUCAGUGGUGACAGAGCUCACUCUGGCUGUAGAGUGUGCAGAGGAAGAGGCUAUAAUGCCUCUGAAUGCUCUGCUUCUUAUUUACAACAUAACACCGUUAUGGGAGGAAGCCAGAGACUGCAGU